rnacentral:rRNA from 1 species
AACGAACGCUGGCGGCAGGCCUAACACAUGCAAGUCGAGCGCCCCGCAAGGGGAGCGGCGGACGGGUGAGUAACGCGUGGGAACGUGCCCCUUUCUACGGAAUAGCCUCGGGAAACUGGGAGUAAUACCGUAUAAGCCCUACGGGGGAAAGAUUUAUCGGGAAGGGAUCGGCCCGCGUUGGAUUAGGUAGUUGGUGGGGUAAUGGCCUACCAAGCCGACGAUCCAUAGCUGGUUUGAGAGGAUGAUCAGCCACACUGGGACUGAGACACGGCCCAGACUCCUACGGGAGGCAGCAGUGGGGAAUCUUAGACAAUGGGCGCAAGCCUGAUCUAGCCAUGCCGCGUGAGCGAUGAAGGCCUUAGGGUUGUAAAGCUCUUUCAGGGGGGAAGA